GCCGAAGUGGCGGAAUGGCAGACGCGCCAGGUUCAGGACCUGGUGAGGGUUAACCUCGUGUGGGUUCAACUCCCACCUUCGGCACCA
rnacentral:tRNA from 1 species